CCUACGGGGGGCUGUAGUGAGGAAUAUUGGUCAAUGGACGAGAGUCUGAACCAGACAAGUAGCGUGAAGGAUGACUGCCCUAUGGGUUGUAAACUUCUUUUAUAUGGGAAUAACAUGUUCCACGUGUGGGAUUUUGUAUGUACCAUAUGAAUAAGGAUCGGCUAACUCCGUGCCAGCAGCCGCGGUAAUACGGAGGAUCCGAGCGUUAUCCGGAUUUAUUGGGUUUAAAGGGAGCGUAGGUGGAUUGUUAAGUCAGUUGUGAAAGUUUGCGGCUCAACCGUAAAAUUGCAGUUGAAACUGGCAGGCUUGAGUACAGUAGAGGUGGGCGGAAUUCGUGGUGUAGCGGUGAAAUGCUUAGAUAUCACGAAGAACUCCGAUUGCGAAGGCAGCUCACUGGACUGCAACUGACACUGAGGCUCGAAAGUGUGGGUAUCAAACAGGAUUAGAUACCCGAGUAGUC
rnacentral:rRNA from 1 species